rfam:Prevotella timonensis CRIS 5C-B1 contig00046, whole genome shotgun sequence.
GGGGAUGAACUUAGAGUCCCCUGUGCGGUCGUGUUAAUAGUAAUGCUUUUGGCCGAGUGUUACGGUUAGUGAAUC